rnacentral:rRNA from 1 species
GACGAACGCUGGCGGCGUGCUUAACACAUGCAAGUCGAACGGACAGGCCCUGCUUUUGUGGGGUGCUCGAGUGGCGAACGGGUGGGUAAAACGUGAGUAACCUGCCCUUGACUUUGGGAUAACUUCAGGAAACUGGGGCUCAUACCGGAUAGGAGCUACUGAUGCAUGGUGGGGGUUGGUAAGUUUCGGCGGUUGGGGCUGGACUCGCGGCUUAUCAGCUUGUUGGUGGGGUAGUGGCUUACCAAGGCUUUGACGGGUAGCCGGCCUGAGAGCGUGACCGGCCACAUUGGGACUGAGAUACGGCCCAGACUCCUACGGGAGGCAGCAGUGGGGAAUAUUGCACAAUGGGCGGAAGCCUGAUGCAGCAACGCCGCGUGCGGGAUGACGGCCUUCGGGUUGUAAACCGCUUUCGCCUGUGACGAAGCGGGAGUGACGGUAAUGGGUAAAGAAGCACCGGCUAACUACGUG